UGCCACAGCCAUCACCCUGCAGCCCAAGACUGGUUGCCCACUGAAGCUAAGCAGGGUUGAGCCUGAUCAGUACCUGGAUGGGAGACCUUCUGGGAAAACUAGGUUGCUGUUGGAA
rnacentral:rRNA from 1 species